rnacentral:rRNA from 1 species
UACGGAGGGAGCUAGCGUUGUUCGGAUAUACUGGGCGUAAAGCGCACGUAGGCGGCGCCGUAAGUCAGGGGUGAAAUCCCGGAGCUCAACUCCGGAACUGCCCUUGAAACUGCAGUGCUAGAAUCUUGGAGAGGCGAGUGGAAUUCCGAGUGUAGAGGUGAAAUUCGUAGAUAUUCGGAAGAACACCAGUGGCGAAGGCGACUCGCUGGACAAGUAUUGACGCUGAGGUGCGAAGGCGUGGGGAGCAAACAGG